ACAGCAAGUCAUAGAACCUCUUGGAACCCCAGUUUCCACAUCUGGAAGAAGGGGCAGAAUAGUAUCAAAAAUGCUUCACUCCCAGGAAUGUGGUGAGCAUAAAAUUAAAUAAUGAAAAAGUCAACUAUAAAGCACUAAAUAAAUAUAAGAUGGUGAAUCUGACAGAGGAAGAAUUAAAUGACUUGUUCAAGGUCACCUUUGAGGAAUUUGCAGGAAGUUUAACUUAUGUAUAUUUUUCCCCUGUAGUACCCCAGAUGGAGUCUCACUCUGUCGCCCAGGCUGGAGUGCAGUGGCACCAUCUCGGCUCACUGCAACUUCCGCCUCCCAGGUUCAAGAGAUCCUCCUGCCUCAGCCCCACUAGUAGCUGGGAUUACAGGGAAAUCUAUUAUGGGAUGGCCUGGAUAUAUCACUUUAAAAAUCCUGCUUUUAAUGAACAAAUGAGAAAAGACCAAGAAAUUGAGCUACAGUGAGGUCACACAGCCGAGAAUCACACAGUGAAGAGUUGGGAUUUGAGCCUGGAAUACUCUGACCUCAGAGUCUGGAUGCUAGUCUCUUGCUGCCUCCCCUGUGUUAUGAGGUCAUGUCUAAAUCACCUCCGUUACUGAAAAUGCUUGUGAAAGACCUAUUCUGCUGGAUAGAGCAGUCACCUUAGUCAAAUAUGAUCCAAAUGUUGCCAUUAGGUCCUACCCAACCCCAUCAAAGAUCAGAACCUGGAGGUGUGGUAACUCCCUCCAGUCCAGAAAAAAAAAAAAAAAAACAAACCCAGUAGGUCAGAGUAAGGAGCUGCUCUGAGCCAUCAGUGGGAGGGUUAAGUUAAAGAAUAGAAAGAUGUAACCUGACCCAAAACUUAGCUCUCAUUUUCAACAGGCAAGAGCUCCUUGCAGGGUGACCUUGACUCAGACCCACAAUUUCAUCUUUUUUUUUUGUUUUCUUUUUGGAAUGGCAAUAACAAUGUCUGCCCAGCAUCCACCACUUUAAGUUGGUGUUUACAAUAGAACUGACACAGCCCUUUAAGCAGGCUCUUGCGUGCAGAGUUAACUCUCCCCUUGCACACAGAGCAGAUCGUCAGGCUCCCUCCAGCCCCAGGACCUUUCUCUAACCAUAAAAAGGCAAUUGUACCUCUAAACCCCAAAUCCUUACCUAUCCCUGCUGCACCCAGCUGUGCAAGGUGAGUCCUAGGAGGUCACAUCCCACAUGAUUCCACGUUUUCUCAUCAGUAUCCUUUGCUAGUUCCAGAUAUUGCAACAUCACUACUGUUCAAGAUUAGAACUUAAGAACUUGAAAAGGUCAAGAAAGAUGUGGUGCCUUGUCUCCACAUCAAGUAAACAGUCCGUGGCAUUGGCCUCUGACAAAUGACAACAGACUCACGGGGCAGCAGUUGAGGAGCUGUGCUUACAUGAUACUUACCAUCCUGAGAAGCAUGGAUGUAUGGGGAUACCCAUACCCUGGUAACCCAACCCCAUGGGCUCAGACAGUGUUGAACACUAGAGAAUCUUCAUCAUUUGCUCAGCUGUCACCACUUCCACAGAUGCAAGAAAUGGCCGAUGGUUCUAGAGGAUGACCCCAGCCUCUCAAAUAGAAAAGGGAGUGUGUUAGAUGUCAUCCAGCCAGUCGUAUAGAAAGGUGGACUUUAAGAAACUGUGGUUAAUGUUGGAAGGAAACAUAAGGCAGCUUUUAAAGCUAUUUUCAUAGUCUUCAAAGAGAAAUAAAUGACCAGCGCCGACGGCUGCAGACAGCAGGACAGGCAGCCUGAC
ensembl:lncRNA novel transcript